rnacentral:rRNA from 1 species
GGAAGGUUCGGGCGUUAUCCGGAUUUAUUGGGUUUAAAGGGAGCGUAGGCCGUUUGGUAAGCGUGUUGUGAAAUGUAGUAGCUCAACUUCUAGAUUGCAGCGCGAACUGUCAGACUUGAGUGCGCACAACGUAGGCGGNAUUCAUGGUGUAGCGGUGAAAUGCUUAGAUAUCAUGAAGAACUCCGAUUGCGNAGGCAGCUUACGGGNGCGCNACUGACGCUGAAGCUCGAAAGUGCGGGUAUCGAACAGGAUUAGAUACCCUGGUAGUCCGCACAGUANACGAUGGAUGCCCGCUGUUAGCACCUAGUGUUAGCGGCUANGCGAAAGCAUUAAGCAUCCCACCUGGGGAGU